ACUUGAAAUAGAUUAGGUUUAUAAGUUAAUAUCUAAUUCUUCAUGCCUCACAGUUUUCUUCAUUUAAAUUUAUAUGUGAACUGUUACCUGUGGCUGUUGCUUAUAAAGUUGUUGGAAGGAGGCUCACUUUGUGGGUUUUUUACAUUUUCUAAGCAUAAUGGCUGACAACUAUAAACCAAAGUUAGUUUAUGUCUUGGCCCUCUUGACACUUAGGAUACAAUCUUCAGCCACUGAUUUAACUGUGUUUCUGGUGGUUGCUAGAUAGUCAAAACUGUCUCACUGCUUAACCUCUUGACUGUCAGAAAGGAUUGUAAUGUUGAAUAAUUAAUUUGUAUGCACAUGCAUUUCAUUUUAUAAAUAUCUAUAGAUAAUCAAAUAAAAAAUAGCCCCCCCAGAUCAUAGAAGUGCUUUUAAAUUUUAUUAUCAUCAAUGUAUUUUUUAAAUGCCAAGUGUUAUAAUUAGUAAUAAUACAUUGCA
rnacentral:lncRNA from 1 species